GCAAUGCGUUUAUUUAUGCAAUCUUUUUUGCCACCUAAUAGCUAUAAAACGAUUUGUUUUCUGUCAACUUCUAAAUAAAAUACAAAAACUUGAUGAAAAUUUCGUGAUUACUCGCAGUUUUGUGCGAAUCGUUCGAAGAAGUGAUGCCAGACAGUCGAGAAACUCGUUUAGUCUUGAAUCGCAACAAACGGGAACUGCACGCUCGUUGCCAAGAGCACAGACUGAGAGAGAUAGAGAGAGAGAGAGAGAGCGAGUAAGAGUGAGAGAAGGCGAGAGAGAGUAAGAGAGCACUGGCACUUGGCUAAUUGUUUGUGGAUGAUCCCUGCAUUUGUCAACAAACUGACAAAACGGCACAAUGGAAGAUUUGUGUACGGCUCCACAGCUUCCUCCCUAUAACAAUAAUAGAGGCAGUAGCUGUUUCUGUGUUGUUUUGCGGUUUAUUGCCUUAAAUUCGUCGCCCAUUCUGAACUUUCUAUUUCUCGUACCCAACCAAUACAUACACAUUUAUAAAGUUCCGCGUCAGACCACGGCCAUUAAAGCUCUACGCGUACCAAUAAACAAUAUCAGACUAAUUGAAAUAAUUGAAAAGUAGGAAGGCAGGCCUUAAACUGAUAGAGCCGAUGCACAGUGUGACGUUUUGAUUGUUUGCGUUGAUAAAGUUAUUGUAAAUAUCAUGAGAAGAAAAACGGCAUUUAUUUUUGUGCACAUUUUUCAAAA